rnacentral:rRNA from 1 species
UACGUAGGGGGCAAGCGUUGUCCGGAUUUAUUGGGCGUAAAGAGCUCGUAGGCGGUUUGUCGCGUCUGCUGUGAAAUCCCGAGGCUCAACCUCGGGCUUGCAGUGGGUACGGGCAGACUAGAGUGCGGUAGGGGAGACUGGAAUUCCUGGUGUAGCGGUGGAAUGCGCAGAUAUCAGGAGGAACACCGAUGGCGAAGGCAGGUCACUGGGCCGCAACUGACGCUGAGGAGCGAAAGCAUGGGGAGCGAACAGG